ACUAGAUUAGAUUUGAACGGAAACAAUAAUUGUAGACAAACCCUCGACACUGACCCCAUUUUCCCCCAAUAAAAAAAAGGAAACCUAUUCUAUAUGCGGGUCUCACUUUCAGUGCACCUCGAAGCAGGGAUCAAUUCUCUCUCCUCGCCAAUCUCCUCGCCAACCUACUGCUCUGUCGAGCUCGAGCUUUUCGCCUCCUUCAAUGGAAUCGACGCCGUCGCAGGGAGCUGCAGCGGCGUGUCUCAGCCUCAAAAUCAAUGCCACCGACGGAGUACUCGUCAAUCUCACUUGAAGUUCCCGCUGAGACAUGCAUGCUUCCGCCUGGCUGUUGUGCGAUUCCCAGAUUGUAAUCCUGUUUCGAUUGAAGUUUCGGCCUCCAAGUGAUGAUUGACGAGUUCUUCUCCGGUUGCAUUCUCUGAGCGAGGAGGAGGAAGAAGAAGAGGAUUCAGACUAUUUUGAAUCGGGAGCUGCAGUGACACAAUUGAUUGGGAACAUUAGGAUGUCUCGAGGUUUCUUUCACCUGUUGGCGGUUGAAAGUUAAGGUACGAUUGCUUCAAACUCUAAAAAGUCUGCCAACCGAACAAUCCUUUGAAGAUUUAGCUUGGCUGCUGAUUUUAUGGCAUAUUGGGUUUGUGAGGCUUCAAUAAUGCUACCAGAUUAAUUUAAAGGAGCUUGAAUUUGUUCAAUAGAUGCUUCCUGAGAAGAUUCUGGAGUCACCAAAGUUGAAAAAACCGUACAUUUCUGGGGUAAAUAUUAGUGUCGUACUGGACAAAGUUGGUAUGCUGUGCUCAAGGUACUUUCAGAUGGAGAUGUUGCUCUCUGUAGCUGUCCAAACUUCGCUUGGUACUGCCCAGAGCUCGUGGAAUUUGAAGGUCUUGGGGAUGAGAAUUUUGUCCACUCUUUCUGCAGAGUAAUAGCUAAUCAAAAUGUUUGUGAAAAGCUAGAAUAGGUCUGAUGUCAUUAGAUAUUUCGUACUCUUGAAAAUCUUGAGUAGCCACCAGAUUUGCCAAAGUGGAGGAGAUAUGCUACACGUUGCCAAAAGCUACUUGAAAUUCAAGGUAUUGGAAGGAAGUUUGUGUGGCUAGAGGAUUUGGAUAUUAAUGGAACAUCUGCUGAUGGAUUACGUGAUCUGUCAAACUUCAAAGUCUCUGAAGUAUCUGUUUUUUGUAAUGGCUGUGAGAAGUUAGAAGGGCUUGGUGGACUUGAUAAAAUGGAGGCAUUGGCAUGGUUAGAUAUCAGUGGAUUUAAAGCAAUUAAAGUUUAACCCAAUCUGUCAAAACUUUAAAAUUGUUCGAACCACACUGUAUGCUGAGCAGCUGAUGGUUGUGAGAAGCUACAGGAACUUGAAAGGCUCGAAAACUUGGGGGGAGAAUUGCAGACAUUAGAAAUUUCAUGUUGCACAGCUAUUGAGAAUCUAAUUGAUCUAUCAGAUCUAGAGAAGCUAGAUUCUCGAUAUUUCACGAUGCGAAAAGUUUAAAGAGAUUCGGGGAUAGGAGGAGCUGGAGUUUAUUUAAUUAUAUAUUUCUGAAUGUAAAUUAUUUUGGAAGCUGCGACAUCUAACAAGGCAUGCGUAAUGUCCUCCUCAGGUUUGCUUCUCUUACCCUCCUUUUUCCUCAUUCAGUGGAUGGAGACCCAUUUCACUAGUGUUGGAGCAAAUUUAUUGAGAAAACCAAAAUACUUACGGCAUUUAUAUUCAGAUACAUACAAUUUACUUUACGGCAGGGUGACGAGGAAGAGAUUGCCUAGACGAUUCUUCUAAUGAGGAAUCAAAUGAUCACUUCGACGAAUCUUCCAAUGAGAAGCAGAGGCGGUGAGGAUAUGAUAUUUCCCGACUGGAAGGCUGAUCUGCCAAUAGGGGACCCGGAAAAUUUGACGUUCCUUCAAUCUUCUGCCAGAGUUGAGAUGGCUUCAAUGGAGGGGAAGUGGGGGAAAAAGUUCCGUAGGCUUGGAGCAAUUUUUUUCUAGUUACUAGAAUUUGGAGCUCUUAGGUUUAUUUCUAUCAUCGUGAAUGGCCUCUUUAUUGUUCUAUCAUUGGCUGAGCUUCUGUUCAAAAGAACUCUCAUUUGAGAGCUCGUAGGAUGUGAACUCUGUAUAUGUUCCUCUCUUUAAAUACCUAAGGACUGUGUUCUAAGUCCCCCGUUAAGGUUCAUAGGCUGCUUUUGGCUGCCGGGAUAAGGAUAUAGAUUUUAAAAUAUCCUUAUGUCA